rnacentral:rRNA from 1 species
GACGAACGCUGGCGGCGUGCUUAACACAUGCAAGUCGAACGAAAAGAGGGAAAGAGCUUGCUCUUUCCGGAAUUGAGUGGCAAACGGGUGAGUAACACGUAAACAACCUGCCUUCAGGAUGGGGACAACAGACGGAAACGACUGCUAAUACCGAAUAAGUUCCAAGAGCCGCAUGGCCCAUGGAAGAAAAGGUGGCCUCUACCUGUAAGCUAUCGCCUGAAGAGGGGUUUGCGUCUGAUUAGCUGGUUGGAGGGGUAACGGCCCACCAAGGCGACGAUCAGUAGCCGGUCUGAGAGGAUAAACGGCCACACUGGACCUGAGACACGGUCCAGACUCCUACGGGAGGCAGCAGUGGGGAAUCUUCCGCAAUGGGCGAAAGCCUGACGGAGCAACGCCGCGUGAGUGAUGACGGCCUUCGGGUUGUAAAACUCUGUGAUCCGGGACGAAAAGGCAGAGUGCGAAGAACAAACUGCAUUGACGGUACCGGAAAAGCAAGCCACGGCUAACUACGUG